rnacentral:rRNA from 1 species
UACGAAGGGGCUAGCGUUGCUCGGAAUCACUGGGCGUAAAGCGCACGUAGGCGGAUCUUUAAGUCAGGGGUGAAAUCCUGGAGCUCAACUCCAGAACUGCCUUCGAUACUGGCGAUCUUCGAGUCCGGGAGAGGUGAGUGGAACUCCGAGUGUAGAGGUGAAAUUCGUAGAUAUUCGGAAGAACACCAGUGGCGAAGGCGGCUAUCUGGACGGUUUCUGACGCUAAGACGCGAAAGCGUGGGGAGCAAACAGG